UGUAGCUCAGUGGUAGGGUAUAUGCUUAACAUACAUAAGGCCAGGGUUCGAUCCCCAGCA
rnacentral:tRNA from 1 species